GCCGGGAUGGCGGAAUAGGUAGACGCACGGGACUCAAAAUCCCGCGGUGGAAACACCAUGUCGGUUCGACUCCGACUCCCGGCACCA
rnacentral:tRNA from 1 species